GCCACGGUAGAUCAAUGGUAGAUCACAUCUAGCAUAUUCUCUACAAGACGGCGUUCACGAUGAGAUCAUGGUUCGAAUCCAUGUCAUGGCA